rnacentral:rRNA from 1 species
GUGCCAGCCGCCGCGGUAAUACGGAGGGUGCGAGCGUUAAUCGGAAUUACUGGGCGUAAAGCGCAUGCAGGUGGUUUGUUAAGUCAGAUGUGAAAGCCCGGGGCUCAACCUCGGAAUUGCAUUUGAAACUGGCAGGCUAGAGUACUGUAGAGGGGGGUAGAAUUUCAGGUGUAGCGGUGAAAUGCGUAGAGAUCUGAAGGAAUACCGGUGGCGAAGGCGGCCCCCUGGACAGAUACUGACACUCAGAUGCGAAAGCGUGGGGAGCAAACAGGAUUAGAAACCCCGGUAGUC